CCUACGGGAGGCAGCAGUAGGGAAUAUUGCUCAAUGGGGGAAACCCUGAAGCAGCAACGCCGCGUGGAGGAUGAAGGUUUUCGGAUUGUAAACUCCUUUUGUUAGAGAAGAUAAUGACGGUAUCUAACGAAUAAGCACCGGCUAACUCCGUGCCAGCAGCCGCGGUAAUACGGAGGGUGCAAGCGUUACUCGGAAUCACUGGGCGUAAAGAGCGAGUAGGCGGGAUAGCAAGUCAGAUGUGAAAUCCUAGGGCUUAACCAUAGAACUGCAUUUGAAACUGUUAUUCUAGAGUAUGGGAGAGGUAGGUGGAAUUCUUGGUGUAGGGGUAAAAUCCGUAGAGAUCAAGAGGAAUACUCAUUGCGAAGGCGACCUGCUAGAACAUAACUGACGCUGAUGCGCGAAAGCGUGGGGAGCAAACAGGAUUAGAUACCCUUGUAGUC
rnacentral:rRNA from 1 species